rnacentral:rRNA from 1 species
GUAACACGUGAGCAACCUGCCUUUCANAGGGGGAUAACGUUUGGAAACGAACGCUAAUACCGCAUGACAUAUCGGUACCGCAUGGCACUGAUAUCAAAGGAGCAAUCCGCUGAAAGAUGGGCUCGCGUCCGAUUAGCUAGAUGGCGGGGUAACGGCCCACCAUGGCGACGAUCGGUAGCCGGACUGAGAGGUUGAUCGGCCACAUUGGGACUGAGACACGGCCCAGACUCCUACGGGAGGCAGCAUG